UAACACAUGCAAGUCGAACGAUAUAGUGGCAGACGGGUGAGUAACGCGUGGGAACGUACCUUUCACUACGGAAUAGCUCUUGGAAACGAGUGGUAAUACCGUAUACGCCCUUCGGGGGAAAGAUUUAUCGGUGAAAGAUCGGCCCGCGUUAGAUUAGCUAGUUGGUAGGGUAAUGGCCUACCAAGGCGAAAUCUAUAGCUGGUCUGAGAGGAUGAUCAGCCACACUGGGACGGAGACACGGCCCAGACUCCUACCGGAGGCAGCAGUGGGGAAUCUUGCACAAUGGGCGAAAGCUUGAUGCAGCCAUGCCGUUCGAAUGUUGACGGCAUUAGGGUUGUAAAAUUCUUUCGCUAGGGAUGAUAAUGACAGUACCUAGUAAAGAAGCCCCGGCUAACUUCGUGCCAGCAGCCGCGGUAAUACGAAGGGGGCUAGCGUUGUUCGGAAUUACUGGGCGUAAAGCGCACGUAGGCGGACUUUUAAGUCAGAUGUGAAAUCCCGGGGCUCAACCUCGGAACUGCAUUUGAAACUGGAUGUCUAGAGACCAGGAGAGGUUAGCGGAAUACCGAGUGUAGAGGUGAAAUUCGUAGAUAUUCGGUGGAACACCAGUGGCGAAGGCGGCUAACUGGACUGGUACUGACGCUGAGGUGCGAAAGUGUGGGGAGCCAAACAGGAUUAGAUACCCUGGUAGUCCACACCGUAAACGAUGAUUAGCUAGUUGUUGGCCAGGGCAUGCCUGCCCGGUGAUGCAGCUAACGCAUUAAGCUCUCCGCCUGGGGAGUACGGUCGCAAGAUUAAAACUCAAAGAAAUUGACGGGGGCCCGCACAAGCGGUGGAGCAUGUGGUUUAAUUGGAAGCAACGCGCAGAACCUUACCUACCCUUGACAUACCGAUCGCGGUUUCCAGAGAUGGAUUCCUUCAGUUAAGCUGGAUCGGAUACAGGUGCUGCAUGGCUGUCGUCAGCUCGUGUCGUGAGAUGUUGGGUUAAGUCCCGCAACGAGCGCAACCCUCAUCCUUAGUUGCCAUCACGUUUGGGUGGGCACUCUAAGGAAACUGCCGGUGGUAAGCCGGAGGAAGGUGGGGAUGACGUCAAGUCCUCAUGGCCCUUACGGGUAGGGCUACACACGUGCUACAAUGGCAGUGACAAUGGGUUAAUCCCCAAAAACUGUCUCAGUUCGGAUUGUCGUCUGCAACUCGACGGCAUGAAGGUGGAAUCGCUAGUAAUUGUGGAUCAGCAUGCCACGGUGAAUACGUUCCCGGGCCUUGUACACACCGCCCGUCACAUCAUGGGAAUUGGUUCUACCCGAAGACGCUGUGCUAACUUCGGAGGCAGGCGGCCACGGUAGGAUCAGUGACUGGGAUG
rnacentral:rRNA from 1 species